GACGAACGCUGGCGGCGUGCUUAACACAUGCAAGUCGAACGAAGUGGCGAACGGGUGAGUAACGCGUAAUAAACCUGCCCUUCAGAGGGGGUCAACAGUUGGAAACGACUGCUAAUACACCAUACUGAUGAGGGGGAUUGCGUUGGAUGAGCUAGUUGGGGGGGUAACGGCCCACCAAGGCGAUGAUCAGGAGCCGGUCUGGGAGGAUGAACGGCCACAUUGGGACUGAGACACGGCCCAGACUCCUACGGGAGGCAGCAGUGGGGAAUCUUCCGCAAUGGACGAAAGUCUGACGGAGCAACGCCGCGUGAGUGAUGACGGCCUUCGGGUUGUAAAGCUCUGUUAAUCGGGACGCGGUACCGGAAUAGAAAGCCACGGCUAACGACGUGCCAGCUGCCGCGGUAAUAC
rnacentral:rRNA from 1 species